AGUGGCGGACGGGUGAGUAACGCGUAAGAAUCUAACUUCAGGACGGGGACAACAGUUGGAAACGACUGCUAAUACCCGAUGUGCCGCAAGGUGAAACCUAAUUGGCCUGGAGAAGGGCUUGCGUCUGAUUAGCUAGUUGGUGGGGUAAAGGCCUACCAAGGCGACGAUCAGUAGCUGGUCUGAGAGGAUGAGCAGCCACACUGGGACUGAGACACGGCCCAGACUCCUACGGGAGGCAGCAGUGGGGAAUUUUCCGCAAUGGGCGAAAGCCUGACGGAGCAACGCCGCGUGAGGGAGGUAGGUCUUUGGAUUGUAAACCUCUUUUCUCAAGGAAGAAGUUCUGACGGCACUUGAGGAAUCAGCCUCGGCUAACUCCGUGCCAGCAGCCGCGGUAAUACGGGGGAGGCAAGCGUUAUCCGGAAUUAUUGGGCGUAAAGCGUCCGCAGGUGGUCAGCCAAGUCUGCCGUCAAAUCAGGUUGCUUAACGACCUAAAGGCGGUGGAAACUGGCAGACUAGAGAGCAAUAGGGGUAGCAGGAAUUCCCAGUGUAGCGAUGAAAUGCGUAGAGAUUGGGAAGAACAUCGGUGGCGAAAGCGUGCUACUGGGCUGUAUCUGACACUCAGGGACGAAAGCUAGGGGAGCGAAAGGGAUUAGAUACCCCUGUAGUCCUAGCCGUAAACGAUGGAUACUAGGCGUGGCUC
rnacentral:rRNA from 1 species